rnacentral:rRNA from 1 species
AGAGUUUGAUCCUGGCUCAGGGUGAACGCUGGCGGCGUGCCUAACACAUGCAAGUCGAGCGGGUACCCGCAAGGGUACCAGCGGCGCACGGGUGAGUAACACGUGGGUAAUCUACCCCUCGGAGGGGGAUAACCGGGGGAAACUCCGGCUAAUACCCCAUACGAUCCAACAACACAAGUUGUUGGAUGAAAGGAGCGUUUGCUCCGCCGAGGGAUGAGCCCGCGGCCCAUCAGGUAGUUGGUGGGGUAAUGGCCCACCAAGCCUACGACGGGUAGCCGGCCUGAGAGGGUGGUCGGCCACAAGGGCACUGAGACACGGGCCCUACUCCUACGGGAGGCAGCAGUGGGGAAUCUUGGACAAUGGGCGAAAGCCUGAUCCAGCGACGCCGCGUGGGGGAUGAAGCCCUUCGGGGUGUAAACCCCUGUUGCGAGGGAGGAAUAAGGCCUGGAGGAAAUGCCAGGCCGAUGACUGUACCUCGCGAGGAAGCCCCGGCUAACUACGUGCCAGCAGCCGCGGUAAUACGUAGGGGGCGAGCGUUACCCGGAUUCACUGGGCGUAAAGCGGGUGUAGGCGGCUCGGUAAGUCGGGUGUGAAAUCCCACAGCUCAACUGUGGAAUUGCGCCCGAAACUGCUGAGCUUGGGGCCGGUAGAGGGAGACGGAACUGCCGGUGUAGGGGUGAAAUCCGUAGAUAUCGGCAGGAACGCCGGUGGGGAAGCCGGUCUCCUGGGCCGCGCCCGACGCUGAGACCCGAAAGCUAGGGGAGCAAACCGGAUUAGAUACCCGGGUAGUCCUAGCCGUAAACGAUGCCCACUAGGUGUGGGGGAUUAAUUCCUCCGUGCUGUAGCUAACGCGUUAAGUGGGCCGCCUGGGGAGUACGCCCGCAAGGGUGAAACUCAAAUGAAUUGACGG